CCUGGGUCCGCCACUGCUUGUAGCUGCCCGCUCCGGCAGGCUUGGGGUAGCCUCGAUGCCUUGAUCGGACGGCUACGAGCUGCCUACGAGGAGCACGGUGGGUCACCGGAGUCGAAUCCGUUCGGAAAUGGGACUAUUCGGGUUUACCUAAGGGAGGUCAAGGAUUGUCAAGCUAAAGCUAGAGGAAUUCCUUACAAGAAGAAAAAGAAGAAGAGAAAGGUUUUAAAAACAAGUGAUGGAUCUUCUUCAAAUCGUCGGUUUUAAGAUACUUACCUAGCCUGCUACACUAUCUCUCUAGAAUGGAAACUUAUGAUCAAAAAGCAUAUCAAGUUGGACAAAUGAAAGCUUGUUCUAGAAUAUGAGGUAAGCUAAAAUAAUAGAAGAUCGAGUGAAUGAAGAAUGGUUUGGAUAUAUAAACAAACCCAAAUAUCCUCGACAGUACAAUGUAUAAUACGAGUAAUUGUAAUACUAGUAAUAGUCUACUUUGCAAGCUUUUUAAGGGCACAAAACUUGAGUUGGUGCCUUAAUAUAUUACUUGUAUGAAAAGUCCUUCCACUGCGACAAUGACGAUAUUACUUGCGAUAUAUGAGACAUUCCUAUUCUCUCUC